rnacentral:rRNA from 1 species
UACGUAGGGUGCGAGCGUUAAUCGGAAUUACUGGGCGUAAAGCGUGCGCAGGCGGUUUUGUAAGCCAGAUGUGAAAUCCCCGGGCUCAACCUGGGAAUGGCAUUUGGGACUGCAAGGCUGGAGUUUGGCAGAGGAGACUGGAAUUCCCGGUGUAGCAGUGAAAUGCGUAGAUAUCGGGAGGAAUACCGAUGGCGAAGGCAGGUCUCUGGGCUAUAACUGACGCUCAUGCACGAAAAGCGUGGGGGAGCAAACAGG